UACGUAGGGUGCAAGCGUUGUCCGGAAUUAUUGGGCGUAAAGAGCUCGUAGGCGGUUUGUUGCGUCGGCUGUGAAAUCCCGAGGCUCAACCUCGGGUCUGCAGUCGAUACGAGCAAACUAGAGUGUUGCAGGGGAGACUGGAAUUCCGGGUGUAGCGGUGGAAUGCGUAGAGAUCCGGAAGAACACCGGAGGCGAAGGCGGCUUGCUGGGCUUUGUCUGACGCUGAGGCGCGAAAGCGUGGGGAGCGAACAGG
rnacentral:rRNA from 1 species